rnacentral:rRNA from 1 species
UACGUAGGGAGCGAGCGUUGUCCGGAUUUAUUGGGCGUAAAGAGCGCGUAGGCGGCUUGGUAAGCCGGAUGUGAAACCCCCGAGCUCAACUCGGGGCGGCCAUUCGGAACUGCCAUGGCUAGAGUCUGGUAGGGGAACACGGAAUUCCUGGUGUAGCGGUGAAAUGCUUAGAUAUCAGGAGGAACACCAGUGGCGAAGGCGGUGUUCUGGGCAGAAACUGACGCUGAGGAGCGAAAGCGUGGGGAGCGAACAGG